rnacentral:rRNA from 1 species
GACGAACGCUGGCGGCGUGCCUAACACAUGCAAGUUGAGCGGAGAUAUAUGGAGCUUGCUUUAUAUAACUUAGCAGCGAACGGGUGAGUAACACGUAGAUAAUCUAUCCUAUACUGGGGGAUAGCCCGAUGAAAGUUGGAUUAAUACCGCAUAUAGCUAUAUAGUUGCAUGAUUAUGUAGUGAAAGAUUUAUUGGUAUAGGAGGAGUCUGCGGCACAUUAGCUAGUAGGUGAGGUAAAGGCUUACCUAGGCGACGAUGUGUAGCCGGUCUGAGAGGAUGAACGGCCACAAUGGAACUGAGACACGGUCCAUACUCCUACGGGAGGCAGCAGUGGGGAAUAUUGCACAAUGGGGGAAACCCUGAUGCAGCAACGCCGCGUGAGUGAAGAAGGUUUUCGGAUUGUAAAGCUCUGUUAGCAGGGAGGAGGAAGGACGGUACCUGCAGAGGAAGCCACGGCUAACUACGUGCCAGCAGCCGCGGUAAUACGUAGGUGGCAAGCGUUGUUCGGAAUAACUGGGCGUAAAGGAUGCGUAGGCGGUUAAACAAGUUAUAUGUUAAAUAUAUAGGCUUAACCUGUAGAAAGCAUAUAAAACUGUUUAACUAGAGUGCAGGAGAGGUAAGUGGAAUUCCUAGUGUAGCGGUGAAAUGCGUAGAGAUUAGGAAGAACACCAGUGGCGAAGGCGACUUACUGGACUGUAACUGACGCUGAGGCAUGAGAGCAUGGGGAGCAAACAAAAUUAGAUACCCUGGUAGUCCAUGCUGUAAACGAUGGGUACUAGGUGUGGGUUGUGAAUAACAAUUCGUGCCGUCGCAAACGCAAUAAGUACCCCGCCUGAGGAGUACGAUCGCAAGAUUAAAACUCAAAGGAAUUGACGGGGACCCGCACAAGCAGCGGAGCAUGUGGUUUAAUUCGAAGCAACGCGAAGAACCUUACCUAAACUUGACAUACCUUGAAUUACCUUGUAAUGAGGGAAGCUCGCAAGAGCAAGGAUACAGGUGGUGCAUGGUUGUCGUCAGCUCGUGUCGUGAGAUGUUGGGUUAAGUCCCGCAACGAGCGCAACCCUUGUUGUUAAUUGCUAACAGGUUAAGCUGAGCACUUUAGCGAGACAGCCUAGGUUAACUAGGAGGAAGGUGGGGAUGACGUCAAAUCAUCAUGCCCCUUACGUUUAGGGCUACACACGUGCUACAAUGGUGAGAACAGAGAGAAGCAAGCUAGUGAUAGUGAGCAAAACUUAUAAAACUCAUCUCAGUUCGGAUUGCAGGCUGAAACUCGCCUGUAUGAAGAUGGAGUUGCUAGUAAUCGCGAAUCAGAAUGUCGCGGUGAAUACGUUCCCGGGUCUUGUACACACCGCCCGUCACACCAUGAGAGUUGGCAACACCCGAAACCUGUGGGCUAACC